CGUGUAGGCGGCUAGUUAAGUCGAGUGUGAAAGUCCUGGGCUCAACCCAGGAAGUGCGCUCGAUACUGGCUAGCUAGAGUACGGGAGAGGGUAGUGGAAUUCCCGGUGUAGAGGUGAAAUUCGUAGAUAUCGGGAGGAACACCAGUGGCGAAGGCGGCUACCUGGACCGAUACUGACGCUGAGACGCGAAAGCGUGGGUAGCAAACAGGAUUAGAUACCCUGGUAGUCC
rnacentral:rRNA from 1 species